rnacentral:rRNA from 1 species
ACGGGGUGCAGCAGGCGCGAAAACUUCACAAUGCGAGCAAUCGUGAUAAGGAAACCCUGAGUGCCUGUCAAUGCAGGCUGUUCUGGCGUCUAACACACGCCAGGAGAAAGGGCGGGGCAAGACCGGUGCCAGCCGCCGCGGUAAUGCCGGCUGCUCGAGUGAUAGCCACUUUUACUGGGCUUAAAGCGUUCGUAGCUUGGUCGUUAAGUCUCUGGGGAAAUCUUUUGGCUCAACCAAAAGGCGUCUCAGGGAAACUGACGAUCUUGGAACCGGGAGAGGUAAGACGUACUUCGGGGGUAGGAGUGAAAUCUUGUAAUCCCCGAGGGACGACCGAUGGCGAAGGCAUCUUACCAGAACGGCUUCGACAGUGAGGGACGAAAGCUGGGGGAGCAAACCGGAUUAGAUACCCGGGUAGUCCCAGCCGUAAACGAUGUGCGUUAGGUGUGUCAGUGACCACGAGUCGCUGAGGUGCCGAAGGGAAACCGUGAAACGCACCGCCUGGGAAGUACGGUCGCAAGGCUGAAACUUAAAGGAAUUGGCGGGGGAG